CCUACGGGAGGCAGCAGUGGGGGAUAUUGCACAAUGGGGGGAACCCUGAUGCAGCGACGCCGCGUGGGUGAAGAAGCGCCUCGGCGCGUAAAGCCCUGUCAGCAGGGAAGAAAAUGACGGUACCUGAAGAAGAAGCCCCGGCUAACUACGUGCCAGCAGCCGCGGUUAUACGGAGGGGGCAAGCGUUAACCGGAUUUACUGGGUGUAAAGGGGGGGCAGACGGGGAUGCAAGCCAGGAGGGAAAGCCGGGGGCCCAACCCCGGGAGUGCUGUUGGAACUGCGUGGCUGGAGUGCGGGAGGGGCAGGCGGAAUGCCUGGUGUAGCGGUGAAAUGCGUAGAUAUCAGGAGGAACGCCGGUGGCGAAGGCGGCCUGCUGGACUGCAACUGACGUUGAGGCCCGAAAGCGUGGGGAGCAAACAGGAUUAGAUACCCGUGUAGUC
rnacentral:rRNA from 1 species